UAAACCUUGCCACAUUUAAAUAUAAAUUUAGUCUUAUUAUUUUUAUCCUUAUUAUUUGCCUUUAUCGUAAUAAA
rnacentral:tRNA from 1 species